GAACAAAAGUUCUUUUUUUUUUAUUUUUUUUUUUUUUUUGGUCCCCUCUAGUGACGCGGCGGCGCGCUAACACUUGCAAGUCGAACGAUGAACCUGGAGCUUGCUCUGGGGGAUUAGUGGCGAACGGGUGAGUAACACGUGAGCAACCUGCCCCUGACUCUGGGAUAAGCGCUGGAAACGGCGUCUAAUACUGGAUAUGUGACGUGACCGCAUGGUCUGCGUUUGGAAAGAUUUUUCGGUUGGGGAUGGGCUCGCGGCCUAUCAGCUUGUUGGUGAGGUAAUGGCUCACCAAGGCGUCGACGGGUAGCCGGCCUGAGAGGGUGACCGGCCACACUGGGACUGAGACACGGCCCAGACUCCUACGGGAGGCAGCAGUGGGGAAUAUUGCACAAUGGGCGAAAGCCUGAUGCAGCAACGCCGCGUGAGGGAUGACGGCCUUCGGGUUGUAAACCUCUUUUAGCAGGGAAGAAGCGAGAGUGACGGUACCUGCAGAAAAAGCGCCGGCUAACUACGUGCCAGCAGCCGCGGUAAUACGUAGGGCGCAAGCGUUAUCCGGAAUUAUUGGGCGUAAAGAGCUCGUAGGCGGUCUGUCGCGUCUGCUGUGAAAUCCCGAGGCUCAACCUCGGGCUUGCAGUGGGUACGGGCAGACUAGAGUGCGGUAGGGGAGAUUGGAAUUCCUGGUGUAGCGGUGGAAUGCGCAGAUAUCAGGAGGAACACCGAUGGCGAAGGCAGAUCUCUGGGCCGUAACUGACGCUGAGGAGCGAAAGGGUGGGGAGCAAACAGGCUUAGAUACCCUGGUAGUCCACCCCGUAAACGUUGGGAACUAGUUGUGGGGUCCUUUCCACGGAUUCCGUGACGCAGCUAACGCAUUAAGUUCCCCGCCUGGGGAGUACGGCCGCAAGGCUAAAACUCAAAGGAAUUGACGGGGACCCGCACAAGCGGCGGAGCAUGCGGAUUAAUUCGAUGCAACGCGAAGAACCUUACCAAGGCUUGACAUACACGAGAACGGGCCAGAAAUGGUCAACUUUG
rnacentral:rRNA from 1 species